AGUGAACGCUGGCGGUAGGCCUAACACAUGCAAGUCGAACGGCAACACAGUAAGAGCUUGCUCUUACGGGUGGCGAGUGGCGGACGGGUGAGGAAUACAUCGGAAUCUACUUUUUCGUGGGGGAUAACGUAGGGAAACUUACGCUAAUACCGCAUACGACCUACGGGUGAAAGCAGGGGAUCUUCGGACCUUGCGCGAUUGAAUGAGCCGAUGUCGGAUUAGCUAGUUGGCGGGGUAAAGGCCCACCAAGGCGACGAUCCGUAGCUGGUCUGAGAGGAUGAUCAGCCACACUGGAACUGAGACACGGUCCAGACUCCUACGGGAGGCAGCAGUGGGGAAUAUUGGACAAUGGGCGCAAGCCUGAUCCAGCUAUACCGCGUGGGUGAAGAAGGCCUUCGGGUUGUAAAGCCCUUUUGUUGGGAAAGAAAAGCAGCAGGUUAAUACCCCGCUGUUCUGACGGUACCCAAAGAAUAAGCACCGGCUAACUUCGUG
rnacentral:rRNA from 1 species